AAGGCCUAACACAUGCAAGUCGAGCGCGUCCUUCGGGGUGAGCGGCGGACGGGUUAGUAACGCGUGGGAACGUGCCCUUUAGCUCAGAAUAGCCCUUGGAAACGAGGAGUAAUACUGGAUACGCCCUUUGGGGGAAUAAAGGAUCGGCCCGCGUUAGAUUAGGUAGUUGGUGGGGUAACGGCCUACCAAGCCUACGAUCUAUAGCUGGUUUGAGAGGAUGAUCAGCAACACUGGGACUGAGACACGGCCCAGACUCCUACGGGAGGCAGCAGAGGGGAAUCUUGGACAAUGGGCGCAAGCCUGAUCCAGCCAUGCCGCGUGAGUGAAGAAGGCCCUAGGGUCGUAAAGCUCUUUCGCCAGGGAUGAUAAUGACAGUACCUGGUAAAGAAACCCCGGCUAACUCCGUGCCAGCAGCCGCGGUAAUACGGAGGGGGUUAGCGUUGUUCGGAAUUACUGGGCGUAAAGCGCACGUAGGCGGACUAUUAAGUCAGGGGUGAAAUCCCGGGGCUCAACCCCGGAACUGCCUUUGAUACUGGUAGUCUUGAGUUCGAGAGAGGUGAGUGGAAUUCCGAGUGUAGAGGUGAAAUUCGUAGAUAUUCGGAGGAACACCAGUGGCGAAGGCGGCUCACUGGCUUGAUACUGACGCUGAGGUGCGAAAG
rnacentral:rRNA from 1 species